UUGACCUCAGAUCAGGUAGGAAUACCCGCUGAACUUAAGCAUAUCAAUAAGCGGAGGAAAAGAAACCAACAGGGAUUGCCCUAGUAACGGCGAGUGAAGCGGCAACAGGCUCAAAUUUGAAAUCUGGCCCUAGGCCCGAGUUGUAAUUUGUAGAGGAUGUUUCUGGCGAAGUGCCUUCCGAGUUCCCUGGAACGGGACGCCAUAGAGGGUGAGAGCCCCGUACGGUUGGAUGCCUAGCCUCUGUGAAACUCCUUCGACGAGUCGAGUAGUUUGGGAAUGCUGCUCUAAAUGGGAGGUAUACGUCUUCUAAAGCUAAAUAUUGGCCAGAGACCGAUAGCGCACAAGUAGAGUGAUCGAAAGAUGAAAAGCACUUUGAAAAGAGGGUUAAAUAGUACGUGAAAUUGUUGAAAGGGAAGCGGUUAUGACCAGACUUGGACAGGUUGAUCAUCCACGGUUCUCUGUGGUGCACUCUGCCUGUCCAGGCCAGCAUCAGUUCGCUUCGGGGGAUAAAGACUUUGGGAAUGUGGCUCCCUCGGGAGUGUUAUAGCCCAUUGUGCAAUACCCUGAUCCGGACUGAGGUUCGCGCAUCUGCAAGG
rnacentral:rRNA from 1 species